rnacentral:rRNA from 1 species
GCAUAUCAAUAAGCGGAGGAAAAGAAACUAACAAGGAUUCCCUUAGUAACGGCGAGUGAACCGGGAAAAGCUCAAAUUUGUAAUCUGGCUGUCUUCGAUAGUCCGAGUUGUAAUCUAUAGACGUGUUUUCCGUGCUGGACCGUAUCUAAGUCCCUUGGAACAGGGUAUCAAAGAGGGUGACAAUCCCGUGCUUGAUACGACCACCAGUGCUCUGUGAUACACGCUCUACGAGUCGAGUUGUUUGGGAAUGCAGCUCAAAAUGGGUGGUAAAUUCCAUCUAAAGCUAAAUAUUGGCGAGAGACCGAUAGCGAACAAGUACCGUGAGGGAAAGAUGAAAAGCACUUUGGAAAGAGAGUUAAACAGUACGUGAAAUUGUUGAAAGGGAAACGAUUGAAGUCAGUCGUGUUCUUUGGAUUCAGCUAGUUCUUCUAGUCUACUUCCUUUGAACGGGUCAACAUCAGUUUUGUCCGGUGGAUAAAGAUAGUAGGAAUGUAGCUCCCUCGGGAGUGUUAUAGACUAUUAUUGCAUGCACUGGGUGAGACUGAGGACUGCAGCUCGCCUUUUGGCCGGCCUUCGGGUACGUUCGAGCUUAGGAUGUUGACAUAAUGGCUUUAAACGACCCGUCUUGAAACACGGACC